rnacentral:rRNA from 1 species
UACGGAGGGGGCUAGCGUUGUUCGGAAUUACUGGGCGUAAAGCGCGCGUAGGCGGACCUGCAAGUCGGGGGUGAAAGCCCGAGGCUCAACCUCGGAACUGCCUUCGAUACUGCGGGUCUCGAGUCCGGGAGAGGUGAGUGGAAUUCCUAGUGUAGAGGUGAAAUACGUAGAUAUUAGGAAGAACACCCGUGGCGAAGGCGGCUCUCUGGGACGGUACUGACGCUGAGACGCGAAAGCGUGGGGAGCGAGCAGG